rnacentral:lncRNA from 1 species
ACUUUCUUUCACAUAUAUGUCUCUUUUAUUCAUUAUUAUUGUUACUGUAUUUUCUACUGACCCAUACCGUUGUUUAGCUCUUCCUGAUCCGGUGAGUACUCCUCGCCUUCAUCGGCUUGCGGUACCCACUGGGAGGGGAGACAUGUUUACAUGUUCUCACCUCCCCCACUAUUUUUCAGGUAUCGCGGGCGGUGAGGGUUGAGACGAGACGUGAGAUACAUACGUAGCGGUCGAUAGAGCUUCCAACCCAGGUUAUUCGGUUUAGUUUCUACCCUUGCUGUCCUGUUGAUAUAGCUUAGAUAGUUUAUAUAGUUCAGUUUUGGGUAUUUCAGUUAACUAUCAUAUUUUGAUUUGGCUUUAUGAAUGUAAUAAAAGGAUUCGUGGUUUUCGUAAAUAAAAAGUUUUCUACCCCUCGUGGUAGCAUUUUUAAAGAAUAAAGAUUUUCGUGUAGGAAACAGUUUUUAAAAGAAUUUUCUGUGGAUUUAUGUUUAAAUAUUGAAUGUAUAACUGUGAUGUGAAUGGUGAAUGAAUGAUUGCAUAGUCGUUUCUAUAUUCAUUUGGUUGUGGUUGUACCUGGGAUAUUUCUUGUACUUGUGCGACACCGUGCAAAUAUAGGAGAGAUUCUGUCCGUGUGAACAGUGGAUUCCCUGUAUUUGUGGCGGAUCUGGCAUUCCCUCGGCUUAGAUCUUCAAAAAAAAAAAAUUUCGCGGUGUUUUUAACCUAAUGGGACCCCGAGGCGUGACAGAUUAAAGUGGUAUCAGAGCCUAGUUACAACCACAACACCAUUCACAGGUUGUUUUGAAAAGUAAAUGAACUGAACCAUUGGUUAGGUUGACCUAUAGAAAGACCUAAGGUAUAUAGGCACGUGCGAGCGCGGGAUGUUCGAGAUUUAGUCUUGAGGUUAUCGAGCUAGGAGGCUCGAAGGUUUAUUUGUGUUUAUUACCCCGUAUUUCUUGUGUUGCAGGUUAUGGCAUGUACUCGUUUUGGUAUUAGGAGUGGGGUCAGUGAGUGGAGUCGAUAGGCUGCUAUUGCUGCUGUUAUCGCCCCAGCUCCAACACAGGACAAGAAAAUCUUUGCUGGUCAAUCCGCAGGCACUAGGUGCACUCUUUUGAGUUAUGUCGAAUGGUUUUGCUGUGGGGAUUACCAAAGCGGAUGUUUUGACCUUUCUGGAUUCCUUGUCAGUGUGGUGUGUGUCGGAUCUGAUUUUUGUACGGUCGUGAUGUCGGAUCUUUGUUCGUGCAUUCUAGCGCAUUAUAGGGUCAUUGGUUGGCUUAGUGUUGUGUCAUGUCUCCAACCUUCUGUUGGCGACGGAUCCGCGGGUAUCUUACCUUUCUUUUGAUAAGUACGUUGGCUGCAGACAACGUAUUAUCAAAAGUUAGGACAAGAUACCCUACCCCUUUGGGGAAUAUUUGGAUUGGGUCGAUAUUUCUUUUCUCUUGCAUGAGAGGUGACGGUUAUCUUUGAUCAUCUAGUGAGCCUGGUGGUUGGCUCAGAUGUCGCAGCUUCCAUUGUUGUAUAAGGUAUAUGUUUUCGUUAUCGUGGAUACCUUGGAUUGGAUUGGGUCGUUGUUUGGUCACUUGGUGAAGGUUAGGUUGGAGUCUCGAUGAGACGGGCAUUUAGUGUUGCUAGGAACAUCGAUCGCUAGGGUCCCUUGGGGACGGCAGCGAUAGGGUCUCGUAGAGACAGGUGUUUGGCAUCACUGGUGGUUUUGAUUGCUUGUUGCGAGUGGCAAUUCUGUUCACCUAGUGACGGACAUGCAUUGGUUGUACGUUUGAGUGUUGAGCAAGUUUAAUUGUUGGCUCAACUGGUACUGGCAGUCUUAGACCUUUUUGGUCUAGACAAUGGUUAGGUCUUGGACCUAAGAGUGUCGGGUGCCAUCGAUGGAUUCCGAUGGUUAAGUUUUGGCUUUGUCAGGUUGUAGUUCGGUUCUUUGAGGGGUUGUAGCCUCCGAGGUGAGUGUUGGUUCUCUAGCAUUGGAUCACCCCUAUCUGUUAGGAAGUUUCGGGGACGAAACUUUCUUUAAGGGGGGGAUGAUGUAAGGACUGAGAUUUUUUGCAGUGUAGCUAAACUCUUAGUUAACGAUGUUUUUGUGUGUAACUUAAUUACAAAAGCACUCGUCAAGUUUCGAGUGAAAACAAGUUAAAACAGAAAUUCCACGCGAUUUCCAAGUUUCACUUAAAGUGAAUAGUAAUUAACUCGAUUUUCCGGAGAAGUCACGGUGGGAAGUUGGCUUCUGGCUCGUAUCGGACUCCGUUCCUAGCAGUCCAAUAGCUCGUUUCGACCGGUUCAGCUCUUCUGGAACUAUUGGCGCUAACAGAUUUUGAGUUUGACGCACGGAUUUCGAGAAGAUCCAAAAAUACAUGUUUUAUAUGUAUUUAUGUGUUAUUCCUUCUAUUGGAAAGAAAGAUUGGAUUUUAUCGCGAAUCCGUGGUCGAUCGUGGUGAAACGAAAUCGUAACUUUGUUGUCUCCGUCGUGCUGAUCGCAAUGGUGUAAUCCGUUCGCAAAUCCAACGGACGGAUCUGCGGAGAUUGCGCGUUGAUCGAUGAGAGGUCUGUAAUGGCAAAACUGUAAUUUCGCAAAAGUCGCGAUAUUUUAUGUACCGUUUCGCAUGGGAUCGCACAUGGAGGGGUGUCCGCGUGUUUUACACGCGCUGUGAAGGACUCAGUAAUAAAUACUGAGGUUUGGUAGACUUAUUUGCAAAGUUGCACCUUAGUAUUUAUAGCUCUCUAGGGUUUGGAGCCUUGUAACCCUAACCUAGCCCUAGCCGCACCCCCAGCCACCUUCACCCCACUUCCCUGCACUUGCUGCGCACGCCCAGGCCGCCGUCGACUGAGCCCCGGCCGGCCAGCUGCCGUCGCAGCCUUGCCACCUAACCAUUGUGCCAUCUUCUUUCUUUCUCUCUUCUCUCGGGUUGUGAGGAAGCCCGAGACUGCCGCCACCUCCAGACCCUCCGCCGGUGUCGCCCUGUGCUCCGGCGAUCAUCCCCGCCAACCGCCGCCGUCGCCUAGCGCCACCGCUGCCGCCCAGGCUAGUUGUUGCCGCCUCGGACAAGGCUCGGCCGAGCCAAGUUCCAGCAGCAGCUCACGCGCCGCAGCCACUUGAGAGCACCUCUGUUUCCCCUUCCAGACCCCCGGCUUCCCUUUCCGCCGGUCGCUGCCGCCUCUGUGGGCCGCCGCUGCCUCUGUCAGCCGCAGCCGCCCAGAUCUGCUCAGGCUGAGCCGAGUGCAGCUGUUAGCCGCCACACCGCCGCCCAUCGGACCACCUCUGCCGCCUUCCCCGGAGACCCGGCGACCCCCGCGUGCCGUCGCCGUCGUCCCUGCGGGCCGCCGCCGCCGCCUCCUCUGUCAACCACGGCCGCCCCAGGUCUUCUCGGGCCGAGCUAGCCCCGCUAUCUCUCCCCUGCUCCGCCGCUGCUCGAGGUUGCACCCGAGGCACUUCUCCGACCUCCUUCAACCCUCCACCACCGUCCCUGAGCGCCCCGGCCGCCGCCUUGGCCGCAGCUACCCUUGGAACCCGAGCCGAACCUGGUGCGGGCUCGGUUGGUUCCGCCGUCGCCGCCGCCGCUCCUCGCCGCCAACUGAGGUGAGCACCUCACUCCUCACCUCCCCGCACCCAUCCCUGGCCUCCGCGCCCGCCGCCGUGCCGCCGGAAGCCGGCCGGAGCAAGCUUGCUCCGGCCAAGCCCGAAAUAGGGCUUAGUUAGGAUGGUUUACUGUUCCGAGUUUCUCGAGCCUCCCCGAUCUCUACGGAAGGGAGCAUGAUGAUCCUGGCAAGUUUUUGAUCAUCGUGCUCACCUUGGUUUCUGUCGGGAAGGUCCCGUUCCGCUGUUUUUGUGGUGUCGACCCUGUAGAGCGUUUUUGGCUGCUGUUCUGUGUUUGUGCGUGCUUUUUCGGCGAUCCGAGGCUGUUCCGAUGCCUCCGGAGGUGAGCACGGUGAUCGCUGGUCAGUGCUGAUCACAGUGCUCACCUUACCUUGGAUCAGCAGUGUCCGGUUAGUCUUGUUCGGCGCGUUUCUCCGUGGCUGCGCGCUUUUUGUUGAACCUUCGGGUUGCUCCCGCGCUUCCCACAGUGAGCCGUUGUGCUCUGGAUCAUGAGCACGGCCUCCGGUACGUCGAAACAAAGCUAUACGUGUCUUGGCAGACCUUGGAAGUCCUCGGUUUGCGUGAACUAGCUACUUGAUCGCUCAAAUCACAUAAAAUGAUAAGAUUUUAUGUAAUUUGAGGGACUUUUAUGCAAUUGUGCACCUUGUGGCUACUGUGGGCAACGUGUUGGAGUGUGUGGUAACCUCUGGACUGAUUGUCCAUGAUCCGAUAGCCUUUGCGGAAAUCGAAGAGUCGGUUACGGUGCGUUUUUCGGCGAAAUUCGCCGAAAGAACGCGGUUUCGGUUCGGAUUUCUUCCGACGUGGUUUGGUUGUCUUGUGUGUGGUCGCUGAGCCUUGUUGGCUAGUCACCAUCAUUAUUUUGUAGGUUCGGUGAUGAUGGGUGAGCGACGGUGGGUUCCGGUGUCGAAAUAGACACUUCUGGGAACCCAGAUUUGUACAAUUAUCCGGUGAUAAUUGUGUAGUGUUGUUAUCUUGUGUUUGAUGCCAAAACAUCCAAAUCGGAGUGUUCUGGUGCAGCAGGUGACUCGUGGCACGAGUCGGUAAGUUUCGGGGCAUUUAGUGGGUCCCGACGGCGUCCCGGUGUGGUUUUCGGGACUUCCGGCGAGUUACGGUAAUCGGUAUUGGGAAACCGAUCUUCGUGAAAUUGUUUGUGGGGUUGUGGAUACUGUGGUUAUUAGUUGUGGGUUAGAUACUAACCCGGUGGACCCUUUAUAGGUCCUGUUGACAUUCUUUUGCAGUCAGGAGACAGACGCGACAUCCUUACAGAUGGGUACCUCGAUCCGACGUUGGUACAAUGGUGCACGCUCGGUGAUGGUUUCUUAGCCUUACUCUUCUGUUGUUACUAUCGCAUAGUAUAUUGAGCCUUGAACCCUUGUUUAUUCGUUAUACUCUACUCGUUGUUUGCAUGCUUAGUAUCCUGAGUAGGAGUAGAGUAGUUCUAUCUACAUGCGUAUCUGUUGACCUAGUUGGUCUGUAGUUGCAUUCAGUAUCUGUUGACCUAGUUGGUCGGUUGUUGCAUUCCGUAUCUGUUGACCUAGUUGGUCUAUUGUUGCAUUCAGUAUCUGUUGAUCUAGUUGGUUGGUUGUGCAUUCCGUAUCUGUUGACCUAGUUGGUCGAUUCUCGUACUUCGUAUCAGGGACCUUGUUGGUCAGUUGGACUCUGUAGACCUUGGGUCCAGGCAACACAUCGACUCUCUUGUCAUGUGUUUCGAUCUGGUUGAUCGUAGUUUGGCGUUGUACGCCCUUGUUUCUGGCUUCGGCCUAGGCAUCGGCUUUAGCCGGAUUUCGUUUAAGCAUAUCAGUAUGAUUUAGUCACAGCACUGUGUAUUAUAGACACCAGGUUGGUUUGGCCACCAACAAGAGGUGUACGUAUCCGGAUAGGUCGUUGGUGACGCAUGAAUAAGCUCUCAGUGUCUGCUCUGUGACAGGCAACGCUUGAGAUUUGCGGACCAAUAUAGCAGCAUUAGAUUGGGUAUAUUUGGACUUAUCGUCUGGUUGACGCAUAUAACUAUAGUAGCAGUUGUCGCUUGUAUAUCUUCAGUUCUUUCGUUAGAUUGUUUUGCUACUAUAGUCUUGUUUAUUACAGUAGCGGUAGUUGUACUUUCUUUCAUAUACAUGUCUCUUUCAUUCAUUAUUAUUGCUACUGUAUUUUCUACUGACCCAUACCGUUGUUUAGCUCUUCCUGAUCCGGUGAGUACUCCUCGCCUUCAUCGGCUUGCGGUACCCACUGGGAGGGGAGACAUGUUUAUAUGUUCUCACCUCCCCCACUAUUUUUCAGGUAUCGCGGGCGGUGAGGGUUGAGACGAGACGUGAGAUACAUACGUAGCGGUCAAUAGAGCUUCCGACCCAGGUUAUUCGGUUUAGUUUCUACCCUUACUGUCCUGUUGAUAUAGCUUAGAUAGUUUAUAUGGUUCGGUUUUUGGGUAUUUCAGUUAACUAUCAUAUUUUGAUUUGGCUUUAUGAAUGUAAUAAAAGGAUUCGUGGUUUCGUAAAUAAAAGGUUUUCUACCCCUCGUGGUAGCGUUUUUAAAGAAUAUAUGUUUCCGUAUAGGAAACAGUUUUCAAAUGAAUUUUCUAUGGAUUUAUGUUUAAAUAUUUAAUGUAUAACUGUGAUGUGAAUGGUGAAUGAAUGAUUGCAUAGUCGUUUCUAUAUUCAUUUGGUUGUGGUUGUACCUGGGAUACUUCUUGUACUUGUGCGACGCCGUGCAAAUACAGGGGAGACUCUGUCCGUGUGAACAGUGGAUUCCCUGUAUUUGUGGCGGAUCUG